rnacentral:rRNA from 1 species
CUUCCGCCGGCGACCGGCGCACGGGUGAGUAACACGUAUGCAACCUGCCCCUGUCAGGGGGACAACCCGCCGAAAGGCGGGCUAAACCCGCGUACAUGCCACCGGGGCAUCCCGGAGGCAGGAAAGGCUUCGGCCGGACAGGGAUGGGCAUGCGGCGCAUUAGGCAGUAGGCGGGGUAACGGCCCACCUAACCGACGAUGCGUAGGGGUUCUGAGAGGAAGGCCCCCCACACUGGUACUGAGACACGGACCAGACUCCUACGGAAGGCAGCAG